rnacentral:tmRNA from 1 species
CUACUUUAUUUCAACACCUUUCGGGCCUAUAUAUGCGUUGUCAGUUCAUUCUGACUAUGGCGAUAAAUGACGGUUGCAAUAAGCCAUUCGGACCCGGGGGCGGUACCCGGCGCCUCCACCACAUGCUGUUUGUCAAAUUUUUGACAGCAUCUGUGGGGGCGAAAUAGGAUCGACGAGGGUGUAAAAGGCUUGUUUUCGCUCGGCAUGGUACCACCGACAUCGGACCAAAACAGUAGUUGCAAAUGACAACAACGCUGAGGUUGCUCUCGCUGCCUAGUCAGUGCGAAAAACCGAACUUAAGUCCUGGUCUUUAGCAAGGUCAGGCGGGGUCCGGAGGCACCUGGCAACAGAAGCCUCCACU